rnacentral:rRNA from 1 species
UGCCGUCUACUCUUGGACAGCGCUUCUGAAAGGAAGAUUAAUACAAGAUGGCAUCAUGAGUCCACAUGUUCACAUGAUUAAAGGUAUUCCGGUAGACGAUGGGGAUGCGUUCCAUGUAGAUAGUAGGCGGGGUAACGGCCCACCUAGUCUUCGAUGGAUAGGGGUUCUGAGAGGAAGGUCCCCCACAUUGGAACUGAGACACGGUCCAAACUCCUACGGGAGGCAGCAGUGAGGAAUAUUGGUCAAUGGGCGCAGGCCUGAACCAGCCAAGUAGCGUGAAGGAUGACUGCCCUAUGGGUUGUAAACUUCUUUUAUAAAGGAAUAAAGUCGGGUAUGUAUACCCGUUUGCAUGUACUUUAUGAAUAAGGAUCGGCUAACUCCGUGCCAGCAGCCGCGGUAAUACGGAGGAUCCGAGCGUUAUCCGGAUUUAUUGGGUUUAAAGGGAGCGUAGAUGGAUGUUUAAGUCAGUUGUGAAAGUUUGCGGCUCAACCGUAAAAUUGCAGUUGAUACUGGAUAUCUUGAGUGCAGUUGAGGCAGGCGGAAUUCGUGGUGUAGCGGUGAAAUGCUUAGAUAUCACGAAGAACUCCGAUUGCGAAGGCAGCCUGCUAAGCUGCAACUGACAUUGAGGCUCGAAAGUGUGGGUAUCAAACAGGAUUAGAUACCCUGGUAGUCCACACGGUAAACGAUGAAUACUCGCUGUUUGCGAUAUACGGCAAGCGGCCAAGCGAAAGCGUUAAGUA